AAAAGUAGCCUGAUCAUUAUUGAUGAGAAAUGAAGUACCUGAGGGAUUUGUUUUUCUUUAAAAUUGCUACUGUGAAUUCUGCCAUUUUAUGAUUCCUGUCAAGAUUGUGCUGAACUUUUUGAAGUGUUGGUCAUUGAAACUAAUUAGUCUACAAUGAAGUUUAAUUUACUCUUUUUGAAGCUUAUAUUAGCAGAACUUUAUUGCUUUGUUUGUAUCAUAUAUAAUCUGCUUAGUUCUUGAUUAUAAAAGAACGAACAUUCAGCCGUUGAAUUUGGACUCGUGUGUAUGUUCUUUAUUUCUUUCAUAAAAGUGGACUGAUACACUGUUGAUGAGAGCUUGGUUCUGAGUGAUUUAUUUGUCCUUUCGAGCAUCGUGUUCUUUCUGUUCACUUGAGACUGUAUUAUGAAGAUAAGUUUGAUUUAUCAGUUUCGUUGCCUUGAUUUGCUCAUAUUUUCAAAUCUAGAUUUGGGUUCCAAUCCUGAGAUGUACCACAAAACUUACUCCAACAAUGCUGUUGUUCCUUAAAGCUCUGUGAGCAAGGUUUGUUGGCUUGAGUGGCAAUACUGAAGAUGAGUUGAGCAUGAAGAUUAUUAUAAUUUUUUUUUUUAAACGUUCAAUGAUCAAUUAUAUUAUUUAAUUAAAUAAAUAUCUUUAUUUUUAAUACAUUAACAUGAUCUUAACCUACCUUGUAUGGAAUAUAAUGAUGGACAUAUUAUUUGUAUGCCAAUAGAACAGAAAAAGUUGCGGUGUUC